UACGUAGGGUGCAAGCAUUAAUCGGAAUUAUUGGGCGUAAAGGGCGCGUAGGCGGCCCGGUAAGUCCGCUGUGAAAGUCCAGGGCUCAACCCUGGGAUGCCGGUGGAUACUGUCGGGCUCGAGUCCGGAAGAGGAGUGUGGAAUUCCUGGUGUAGCGGUGAAAUGCGCAGAUAUCAGGAGGAACACCGAUGGCGAAGGCAGGUCUCUGGGCCACUACUGACGCUGAGAAGCGAAAGCAUGGGGAGCGAACAGG
rnacentral:rRNA from 1 species